AUCAACCUUGUGGUGUCUAACGUGUGGGAUGGUGAUAGAGAAUGUCCUGGAAUGACUUUGUGGCAUUCACUAACAGGCCUCUGUUGGCUUCCUCACACUAAUGGAAUCACUGCGCUAUUGCAAGGUUGGCGCGUUUCUCAAAUCCCCAAAGUUCCCUAUAUGGAUCCUUGGCAGCGAGACUCAUCUCUCAGUAUUCUUCACUAAGGUG